rnacentral:lncRNA from 1 species
CUGACUUGCAUGUCUGAAUUUUGUUUUCAUGAUUACGGGAUCAGCUUCACUACAGAGAAAAGGGCCACUGGAAGCAUCAGUCCUGGAGAUCUCAGAGAUGCCUAGAAACAAAGCAUGUGGAUGAAAGAGAUCUGGAGUUCUCAAAGCAUAGUACCAUGUGACCACCACUAA